rnacentral:rRNA from 1 species
GAUGAACGCUGGCGGCGUGCCUAAUACAUGCAAGUCGAGCGACGCGGGCACGGGUGUGUAUAACGUGUGUAACCCCCUUUAAGACUGGGAUUACUUCGGGAAACCGGUGCCAAUCCCGCUUCUUAUACAUGAUUCUGCGCUGCAUUAGGUAGUUGUGAAGGUAACGGCUUACCAAGGCGACGAUGCAUAGCCGACCUGAGAGGGUGACCAGCCACACUGGAACUGAGACACGGUCCAGACUCCUCCGGGAGGCAGCAGUAGGGAAUAUUCCGCAAUGGGCGAAAGCCUGACGGAGCAAGGCCGCGUGAGUGAUGAAGGUCUUCGGAUCGUAAAACUCUGUUAUUAGGGAAGCGGUACCUAAAGAAAAAGCCACGGCUAACUACGGGCCAGCCGCCGCGGUAAUUC